AUGCUGGAACCCAAAUAGUAGAACCAGACAAAAUGCGGCCUUUCCAACUUUGAAGCAUCCAAUUGUUGUCUUCAUCAAAGGAAAAAUCACUGGAGUGCCAUUUCCUUAACGUGGUCCUAAAUUUUGCCAUUAAUUUCUGGUUCAGAGGUCAAUCCUCUCCAAACCUUCACAUGCUAUCACAUUCAUAGCGUUCCGGCCCACCAUCUCCCUCUCAAUCAUCAUCCUCCAUUGGUUAUCCCGGGGUAUGACACUGUCACAAAUAUCAUAAACAGCAGAAAAAUAGAACAAGGCCUCCCUAAACCGAGUGACGAAAAAAGGGGCAUUGAAAGAUCCAUUUAUGAUGGAGUGAGCAAAAAUAUCUGGAUUUAUCCUCCUGAUCAAAUGCAGAACUGCAUCUCUAGGACUGUUCAUUUCAAUAGUCUCAUCCAGCAAAUUCUUGAACCUAAGCAUACAGUUCACAGCAACAAACUCGUUGCUCUUAAUUUUAAGGUCUUCAACUCGAAUGGUUUCCCAGUUCCUUGAUGCUACAGCAUUGUACUCAAAGGGAACAUUGAAACGCUUGCAAUAGUUGGCCAAGCGACGACCAGUUUCCUCAAGUCGUUCUGUGGGACGAAAGCCAGGUAAAGGGUAUUCUAUUCCUGUGAUCCUCAGCUUGGGAGGUCCACCAUCUCUCUCUGAUAAAAACUUGAUGAGUAAUGGCCACUGGAAGCCGUAGAAGAUGCCAAAAUCAAUAACAUGAAGGGUUUCAGCUUUGGCAGCUGCUUUCUUAAUCAUUUUGUUAGCAUAGAAAUGUGCAAACUUCCUAAAUGGAUUAGCAGAUAGAUAAACUUGAUAACCUUUCAAAAAAUCAGCAGCUGAGGUUGUCUUGUAGGUAGGAGCAUAAAAAAAUAGUUGUGCAGCGGCAACAUCCCCAUCCAAGCGUGCCUCAAGGCCAUUGGCAAAGUAAUGAGCCAAUCUUUGUGACCCAUCACCAAAGGGAGAAGAAUGCUUCCUUAUCUGCUUUAGAAGUUCAUUAGCAGCUCUAUUAUCAUUGGCAUGAAUAGCUUGCGCACACAGAAGCAGAAGAGACCUAAUAUCCACCGUUUCCUUCUUCCUGCCUUGUUUCUUAGGCCGAGCCUUCCCUCCAUUAGAUGAAGGCGGCUUUUCACCUCGCUGCUUCGCUUUCUCCGCGCCAUCCUGCAACGAGCCGGNNNNNNNNNNNNNNNNNNNNNNNNNNNNNNNNNNNNNNNNNNNNNNNNNNNNNNNNNNNNNNNNNNNNNNNNNNNNNNNNNNNNNNNNNNNNNNNNNNNNNNNNNNNNNNNCCCCCCCCCCGUUUCUUUCCCCUCCCCUCCACCCAAAGAGAAUUCUCCUCAGCCAUAUUAGAAGACGAUUCUCCACACGACUCUACACCCGUCACAAUCCGGGGUUCCGGAGAAGGAAGAAACUUAGUAGCCUCCUCUAACCCUCUCCUAAACUGGGAUUCAGAAUCUGCACCACUGAAAAUAUCCAGCGCUGCCAACGGUUUGCUAACAGGAGAAUCCAAAUCUAGCAGUCCAUGAGAGUUAAGCUGAAAAGCAUGAUCACCAAUAACAGCAACAGGUGUAUUUACAGAAGGGGGGUUCAACUCACAAGAAUUGUCAUUGCUGUGUGAAUAGCUGUUGCUGCUGCUGCAGUUACUGCUGCUGCUAGUGGUUUCACCAUUAGGGCUUUGAACAUUCAAGGGGUAUUGAUUGUCAAACAGAGCAUUAUGGAAUGAUUUCUCAGUGAGUUGCAAGCUCAAUGGGUCAAAAAUUGGACUCUCUUCACCAUACUCAUCCAUCAGAAUUUGGCUAAUGAAUUUGGUGGUUUCAAAAUAGUCAGAGUCUUCCAGAGAAGGUUCUGUCACAGAGUUCAUGGACAUGGAUGAAACAGCAGCAGAACCUUCUUCAGGGUUUGAAUUUCCUGCAAAACCAUUAGGGUUAACAGCUAAGAGACUGCUAUAUUGUUGAUACACAUCCCAGUAUGCAUCAUAUUGAUUUGGAUCCGAGACAAUUAUGCUCCCUUCUUCAUCAACACGGAAGCUGUUUGUGAAAUUGCUUGUUCCAGAAAAAUUUGGAUCCAUCUUCUUAUCCUUUUCUGGAAACAGCUCAAUGUUUCUGAUAAAAGUUAAGACAAGAACAAAAGCAUGAACAUGAAGAAAAAUGGAACCGUGACAGAGAAGAAAUCAUAAGAUAUGGUUGUGUUGAAAGAGUUAAAUUGAACUUACCAUGAAUUAUUGUUGAAUUUAAGGAAGAUUGGAGAAGAAGAAAAGGGAUAAAGAAUUGGUUCAGGGACAAGAUGACGGUCAGUGAGAUCCUCGGGUCUAUGUCAUGGUUUUGACUUUUGAAUAAAACAUUUAUAUAUUCUUUUUUACUACAAAAAUGAUGAGAGUAUAAGAAACUAUAUACAUAAAAGAUAAAUAUUCAAUAAAGAGUUGUCUAAAUGACUAAUGAGAAAGUUUCAGUUAUAUAACUCAUCAUCUAAUCACAUUAAAGAUAAGUGACUUGAAAUUUUUAUAUCUUAUUUAUUAAUUUAUUUCCAACUCACUUAUCUAGAUUGAAUUAUGAGUUAUUUAACCCAAAUUUUCUCAUAGAUCAUUUAGACAACCAUUUUAAUAAAAAACAAACUAGCAAAAAAGAUUGAAGAUUAGGCAUUGAAACAAAAAUUGUGAAUAAAACUAGAAAUCUUCAAACUUUUAACAAUUUAAAAUGCACUCCUUCUAUUUAAAUUGUAACCCACAUUUUUUCAGUUUUUUUCUCCAAAAUAUAAGUCAUCCCUAUGGAGCAAUAAUUACUUUUUGAAUAUAAUGGUAAUGCACCGUUAUUGUAAACAUUUUUAUACAGACAUCCAAUAAUAGGUUGUCAAAUCAUAAAGUAAGAUUUUAAUUUAAUUAAAAUAAAAAGAACAUAAAUGUUUUUGAAUAUGUGUCACUGAAUUAUUGCUAGUACUAAAAUCCUAGAGGGUUAGGUAAGUAUGACUUAUAAAUUGAGCCGGAGGAAGUAGAAUGUGAGGUCUUAAACCAUAAAUGGUGUUUUAAUUUCCUAUACCACGAAUGAAUUAUUAACAUGUAUAUUAAGAAUUUUUUUUAUAGGUAAAAUGUUAGUUGUUGGUAAUAUUAGUAAAUUAGUCAUCCUCAGAAUUCGAACCCUGGACCCUUCAUCCUCCUAAACCCUUAUGUCCCCUAGCUCUUACCACUUGAGCUAACCUUCAGAACAAUUAAGAAAAUAUAUGAGUAGGGCAAUUACAAACUUACAUCUUUGUUUUUAAUUGACAUAUUAACCUUUUGUUUGUGAGACGCUUACCUCUCUCAAAAGGAAUUCAUAUAAAGUAAUUUUAAUUAUAAAAUCUCAUCCUUCCCCUCAUGAACCAAAUAAAAAUAAAUUAUUUUUCCUCCCCUCCCAUCCUAUGAAUCAAACAUAAUAAGUAUUAAAAUUCAUUCUCGCCCUUCCUCUCCCCUCCCCUCCCCUCCCCUCAUUUGAACCAAACAAUAGCUUAGGGAAUAUAAGAUUUCAAUUUUAUAAAGCUCAUGGAUUAGAAUUUGAAAAUUGGCUUGGAUUGACAAGUUAAACCAAUCAAGUUUAUUUGAAGAAAACUUUGAGAAUUUUUUAGCCGGUGGAAACUAGUCAACAAUGGAUCGAACAUGUCAGAACCGAUGUUAUUAAACCAUUCAUAUUUCAAAAUAUCAUAAAACAAAGAUCUAUAUCGGCUUAAAUAUGUUUUUGUUUCUCAAACUAUAUUGUCGGUUGAAUUUAGUCCUCUACUUGAGUAACGUUACAUUUGAGUACCUAAAACCUUUGAAUUGUCUGAUAUUUAAAUAAUUUUCAUUUUUAAAUUUAGAAAACGAAAACUUGUUUAUUUUGACUUUUUGUUUUCAUUUUUACAGGCGUCAUCGUUGCCGCUGUCACCGUCGCCACUUCCACCAUAGUUACUGUCGUUACCACCACAACUUUUACUGUCUCUAUCGCCUACCGACACCACUACCAACACCACCCCCACUAUCGAUGUCGUUGUUGCUGCCUCCAUCACCGCUUUUCAUGUCACUGGUUGGUGGCGGCGGCAACGACAAUAGUGGAGAUGGUGGUGGCAGUGGUGCAGGUGGUCGUAUCGUUGGCGGUGGUGGCGGUGGUGACGCAAGUGGUGAUGGAGGUGGAGACGAUGGCGGUAGCUCAUUUACUACAAACAAUUUUUAUUUAUUUAUCAUAUUUUAAAGAAAACAUUUUCUAAAUAUCAACCAAACAUGUUUUUAGCUUUAUUUUCUUUAAAAAUGAGGAAAUCAAACAGACCAAUCCUUUCCACAUGUAACCAAAAAAAAAAAAAGAGAGAGACCCUUAUCUAUAUCCAGCCUGUCUCGCCAAAAUUGCAGCUGCAAAAUCAUUUUCCUUUUACGGUACGGCACAAAAUCCCCUAAUUUCUAAAUUUUGCAAUUGGUCUUUUACCAAUUUGAAUUAGUGUCAUCUCAACUUGAAACGCACAGUAAUUCAUUUGGAGAAGAUUCUUUUUUUGAACCAUUUCAUUUGGAGAAGAUGAUGGUAUUGCUAGAUAUAUGCGGAAAUAUCUCAAGUAACCAAGUAUUGGUAGGACUAUAACUCAAAAAACAUAAACAGGAAAAAAGAAGGAAGUAGAAAAAUGGACAGAGUAAAAACCUAGGACGGAUUCUUACAAUUAUACCUUACAUUAGUGUUGUAAGUUAUUAUGCAGGCACCCAAAUAGUAGAACCAGACAAAAUGCGUCCUUUCCAACUUUGAAGCAUCCAAUUGUUGACAAAAUCAUCAUGGUGCCAUUUCCUUAACUUGGUUCUAAAUUUGGACACUAAUUUCUGGUUCAGAGGAAAUUGCUUGAAACCAGCCCUUGUGUUCCUAACCUGCCACUGUUUGUAUGUCUCAGGCCUGUCAAUCCUCUCCAAACCUUCACAUGCUAUCACAUUCAUAGCGUUCCGGCCCACCAUCUCCCUCUCAAUCAUCAUCCUCCAU
rnacentral:lncRNA from 1 species